rnacentral:rRNA from 1 species
GGGUUGUGAGGUUAAGCGACUAAGCGUACACGGUGGAUGCCCUGGCAGUCAGAGGCGAUGAAGGACGUGCUAAUCUGCGAAAAGCGCCGGCGAGGUGAUAUGAACCCUUGACCCGGCGAUGUCCGAAUGGGGAAACCCAGUGCAAUCCGUUGCACUAUCGUUAACUGAAUACAUAGGUUAACGAGGCGAACCGGGGGAACUGAAACAUCUAAGUACCCCGAGGAAAAGAAAUCAACCGAGAUUCCCCCAGUAGCGGCGAGCGAACGGGGAGCAGCCCGGAGUCUGAAUCAGCUUGUGUGUUAGUGGAACGGUCUGGAAAGUCCGACGGUACAGGGUGAUAGUCCCGUACACGAAAAUGCACAGGUUGUGAACUCGAAGAGUAGGGCGGGACACGUGGUAUCCUGUCUGAAUAUGGGGGGACCAUCCUCCAAGGCUAAAUACUCCUGACUGACCGAUAGUGAACCAGUACCGUGAGGGAAAGGCGAAAAGAACCCCGGCGAGGGGAGUGAAAAAGAACCUGAAACCGUGUACGUACAAGCAGUGGGAGCCUCUUUAUGGGGUGACUGCGUACCUUUUGUAUAAUGGGUCAGCGACUUAUAUUCUGUAGCAAGGUUAACCGUAUAGGGGAGCCGAAGGGAAACCGAGUCUUAACUGGGCGUUAAGUUGCAGGGUAUAGACCCGAAACCCGGUGAUCUAGCCAUGGGCAGGUUGAAGGUUGGGUAACACUAACUGGAGGACCGAACCGACUAAUGUUGAAAAAUUAGCGGAUGACCUGUGGCUGGGGGUGAAAGGCCAAUCAAACCGGGAGAUAGCUGGUUCUCCCCGAAAGCUAUUUAGGUAGCGCCUCGUGAACUCAUCUUCGGGGGUAGAGCACUGUUUCGGCUAGGGGGCCAUCCCGGCUUACCAACCCGAUGCAAACUACGAAUACCGAAGAAUGUUAUCACGGGAGACACACGGCGGGUGCUAACGUCCGUCGUGAAGAGGGAAACAACCCAGACCGCCAGCUAAGGUCCCAAAGUCAUGGUUAAGUGGGAAACGAUGUGGGAAGGCACAGACAGCCAGGAUGUUGGCUUAGAAGCAGCCAUCAUUUAAAGAAAGCGUAAUAGCUCACUGGUCGAGUCGGCCUGCGCGGAAGAUGUAACGGGGCUAAACCAUGCACCGAAGCUGCGGCAGCGACACUUAUGUGUUGUUGGGUAGGGGAGCGUUCUGUAAGCCGUUGAAGGUGUGCUGUGAGGCAUGCUGGAGGUAUCAGAAGUGCGAAUGCUGACAUAAGUAACGAUAAAGCGGGUGAAAAGCCCGCUCGCCGGAAGACCAAGGGUUCCUGUCCAACGUUAAUCGGGGCAGGGUGAGUCGACCCCUAAGGCGAGGCCGAAAGGCGUAGUCGAUGGGAAACAGGUUAAUAUUCCUGUACUUGGUGUUACUGCGAAGGGGGGACGGAGAAGGCUAUGUCAGCCGGGCGACGGUUGUCCCGGUUUAAGCAUGUAGGCGGAGGUUCCAGGUAAAUCCGGUACCUUUUAACGCUGAGGUGUGAUGACGAGGCACUACGGUGCUGAAGUGAUAAAUGCCCUGCUUCCAGGAAAAGCCUCUAAGCAUCAGGUAACACGAAAUCGUACCCCAAACCGACACAGGUGGUCAGGUAGAGAAUACCAAGGCGCUUGAGAGAACUCGGGUGAAGGAACUAGGCAAAAUGGUGCCGUAACUUCGGGAGAAGGCACGCUGAUGUGUAGGUGAAGCCCCUGCGGGCGGAGCUGAAAUCAGUCGAAGAUACCAGCUGGCUGCAACUGUUUAUUAAAAACACAGCACUGUGCAAACACGAAAGUGGACGUAUACGGUGUGACGCCUGCCCGGUGCCGGAAGGUUAAUUGAUGGGGUUAGCGGCAACGCGAAGCUCUUGAUCGAAGCCCCGGUAAACGGCGGCCGUAACUAUAACGGUCCUAAGGUAGCGAAAUUCCUUGUCGGGUAAGUUCCGACCUGCACGAAUGGCGUAAUGAUGGCCAGGCUGUCUCCACCCGAGACUCAGUGAAAUUGAACUCGCUGUGAAGAUGCAGUGUACCCGCGGCAAGACGGAAAGACCCCGUGAACCUUUACUAUAGCUUGACACUGAACACUGGUCCUUGAUGUGUAGGAUAGGUGGGAGGCUUUGAAGCGUGGACGCCAGUCUGCGUGGAGCCAACCUUGAAAUACCACCCUUUAAUGGCUGGUGUUCUAACGUAGACCCGUAAUCCGGGUUGCGGACAGUGUCUGGUGGGUAGUUUGACUGGGGCGGUCUCCUCCCAAAGAGUAACGGAGGAGCACGAAGGUUGGCUAAUCCUGGUCGGACAUCAGGAGGUUAGUGCAAUGGCAUAAGCCAGCUUGACUGCGAGCGUGACGGCGCGAGCAGGUGCGAAAGCAGGUCAUAGUGAUCCGGUGGUUCUGAAUGGAAGGGCCAUCGCUCAACGGAUAAAAGGUACUCCGGGGAUAACAGGCUGAUACCGCCCAAGAGUUCAUAUCGACGGCGGUGUUUGGCACCUCGAUGUCGGCUCAUCACAUCCUGGGGCUGAAGUAGGUCCCAAGGGUAUGGCUGUUCGCCAUUUAAAGUGGUACGCGAGCUGGGUUUAGAACGUCGUGAGACAGUUCGGUCCCUAUCUGCCGUGGGCGCUGGAGAAUUGAGGGGGGCUGCUCCUAGUACGAGAGGACCGGAGUGGACGCAUCACUGGUGUUCGGGUUGUCAUGCCAAUGGCACUGCCCGGUAGCUAAAUGCGGAAGAGAUAAGUGCUGAAAGCAUCUAAGCACGAAACUUGCCCCGAGAUGAGUUCUCCCUGAGACUUUAAGUCUCCUGAAGGAACGUUGAAGACGACGACGUUGAUAGGUCGGGUGUGUAAGCGCAGCGAUGCGUUGAGCUAACCGAUACUAAUGAACCGUGAGGCUUAACCUUACAACGCCGAAGGUGUUU